rnacentral:lncRNA from 1 species
CGUGGUUGUUCGGAGCGGGCGAGCGGAGUUAGCAGGGCUUUACUGCAGAGCGCGCCGGGCACUCCAGCGACCGUGGGGAUCAGCGUAGGUGAGCUGUGGCCUUUUGCGAGGUGCUGCAGCCAUAGCUACGUGCGUUCGCUACGAGGAUUGAGCGUCUCCACCCAUCUUCUGUGCUUCACCAUCUACAUAAUGAAUCCCAGUAUGAAGCAGAAACAAGAAGAAAUCAAAGAGAAUAUAAAGGUAUGUGAUUGAAUAACUUUAAUUUUUUUUUGUAGAAAGCAUGGGGCUAAAAGUAUUUUGACAUAAUUUAUCCAAAUUUAGCCUGGCUAUAAUUUCUGUAAGCCUUGAGUUAGUCAGAGGAUGAGUAACAAUAGAGAACAUUUUUAAAAAACUAAUUACGGUUGAAUAUUAAGUCUGACCCAAGAAUAUGGGUUGUCUCUCUUAUUUUGGUCUUUCAACAGUAUUUUGUAGUUUUCAGAGCAUGAAUUUUACACUAUUUAUGUUAAAUUUUUUCCUAAGUAUUCUUUUUGAGGUUACUGUGAAUGGAAUUGUUUCCUUAAUUUCAUUCUCAUUUGGUCAUUGCUACUGUAUAGGAAAAUAAUUGACUUUUGUGUCUUGAUUUUGUGUCCUGAAACCUUGCUGAACUUAAUAGUUCUAAUUGUUUUUUAGUAGAUUCUUC